UUAUGUGCAAUGAGUGGGAUCAUUAUUGUCCUUUCUUUUCAGCUGGAACCAGAGGAGCCCUGGAUCACCAAGGGGUCAAGAGAUAUUCUGGUGUUUUAUCCAAUUCAAAGGCCACCAAUAAUUUUUCUUCCCAGAAAUUACAUCCUCCUUUAGCUUCAGGUGUGCAACGGAAGCUGGAUAUGGUAAAUCAGGUGAGUUAUUCUCUUAACAUGCUUUGUUCUUUCACCGGUCUCCUCACUAACUAGCUAUAUAUGCUUUCUUUUUACUCCGCAAGAUUAAAAAACACGAUAUCCAAAUUUAUUUGAAGUUCUUUACGUAUAUUUUAUGGGGUCUUAUUGUCAUCUGGAAUAGACUAAUAUGUAUCUUAAAGAUAGUUCCUUCCUCGUUAAAUUCCAUCUGUCAUGCCAACGAUUUCUAUGUUUCUUCUCUAGGCAUGAAUUAAGAAGAAAAAACCUAUGAGGAGUACUAAACCAAAGAGUAUCGACAGCCAGGAAAGGACAGCCCAAGUAAGCUUUUAAGGUCUCUGGUUUUUAUUAUUUUAUCAAAGUUAUGUAACAGGUUCGAACUGAAUGUUUGAAGUCGUCUGGUUAGGGAAAAACUGAUUAUACAAAAAAUAACUGAGCGCGUUCUAAAUCUCACUCCGACUGGUAAUUUAAUACCAGAUUACAUAAACACGGAAAGUGAAAAAAGAGGAAUGUGAAAGAGGUCUAACACUUUGUUUCACAUCUACGCAGUAAAUUAGUAAUUAAAAAAGCAAUUGAAAUUACGAAGUUUACAAAACUUUGUUCCACACUUUGAAUUGAUUGGCAUUCUUUUUGAGAGAUUUUUUUUUUCUUCAUUGUGUUGAUUAAUGUUUAUGGAAACCUGUUUUUUGGUUGUUGGAGCUUUUAACGAACAACAAGGGGAGGAUGCGCGUGGGGUUCAAGCAGCUGAGAGAAUGGCAAUGGCUGUUAUGUACAAGAAGAAAAUCAUGAGGGACAUCACCGUCCUCCACCAAUGAAGGACUGGAGUGAAUGGAUUGUCUAAACUGGAAACUUCAUCCUUGGGUCCGCCACAGCAACUUCAGACUGGAAGACUUUUCACACCCGAAAAGUGGCCGGAUGGUAAAAUGUGCGAACACUACAGUUGCAUGCUCAAUGUUUGUGUGAAUGUCCUUAAGUAUAAAUAUGUGUGUUUAGACUAUUUUAUGGCUUUGGCCAGCUCUAAACUACAAAACCAUUAUGUAUUGCUGUGUUGUGAGUUGUUGGUAAUCGUUCGUACUGUGGGACAUGCAGAGCUAAGAGCUAAACUGAUACUUUAAACCUAUAAAUAAACUUUUUCCUUAAUUGGAAUUUGG